UUUUGAGGAAGCCAUUUGAACCUGUUCAUGUGCCUUUCGGGUAUCUAGUCUAAUCCACACUGUAAACGCCACAGAGGCAAUGUCGACUGAUUUGAGCUCAUCCUAAGGCCAAGGGGAGAUGUUGAGGCCAAUGUAAGAACUACCUUUUCAAACAGGGAAACGCCUUCAUCUCCAUUAUUGAUGACGCACUCCGCACCGGCUCCCACUGUAAUUUUUAAUGGACAAAUGGCCAAUGCAGUGGCCAGGAAUACGCACCUGCUGGACCUAAGAAAAGCCUCAGGCAGCUUUCUCUUUCUAACCUACGGCUGCCCCGUGCUGUUUGUUCCAAAAGAGACACCCACCUAAUUAACUAAAGAACAUUUCCUUUAUUUCUGAACCCUUGUUCAUUGAGCCUGCUAGUUCUGAAAUUAUCCAUCAUGUAUACUUGCAAGGACCCAAUAUUUUAUUUCACAUACCUUGUGCAGUUUUGAUCAACUUCGGAGCCAGAAGACGACCGGCCUCUCUUCCAACUCCACCCACGCGUGAGUUGAUGACGCCUUCCCUUGGUCAGACAAGAGAUGGAUUUCCCUGGUCCUGUCAGAGGCCCCCUUUUCCCGGGACACCCGUACCUGGACAGCGUUUAUUUCCUGGAGCAUCCCAAACUCUCCGGACAAGAAACUUGCCCACUGAUGACGGUCGGUCAGCGGCUGUUUUGAGACUGGUUUUAUUGUAACUGGUUGUCCGUCUCAAUGUUGUUCCAACACUGAACUAAGUCAACAAGCUAUCCAAGAACUAUAAUUUAGCCCACUUAUUAUUUAAUCAAAUUCAUAUAAAUUGUUAUUGAAUUAAAAUAUGAGUUUAUAAUAUAUAGUUUUGAUUUAUCGAAUCAUAUUGUGUUAGUUAUUAAUAAUGUAUCUAAAUUGCAAUAAUUUAAUGAGACUGAUUUUAAAUAGGAUAUUACCCUUUCGAAUCUACACUGCCCGUUUACCAGUAAAGGCUUUUAUUGGAAACACUUUGAGUUUGCUACUGGCUAUAUUGUUCUGAAGCCUGACAUUUUUUAUUGAAUCUGGGUCUCAAUGGUUGCAAUAGAGUGGAAUGUAAAAAUGAACUUGUUCACUUUAAUUUGUCAUAAGUUUCUUUCAUUGGUAGGGUACAAAAUAUGUCAAAAACAAAAUCAAACCAUUAAAAAACACUGAUUUAAAACUCGAACACAGAUUUUUUAAUGAAUUUACAAACUAUUAUUUUUUAAUCAUUUUCAACAUAUAACAUGAACUGUCCUGUAUUUUUCAUUUCAUCAGUAGCUUAUAAAAGAUUUCAGCAAUACAAUUUUUUACAUUUUGACAAUUGUAACAUUUUUCAUUUUCUUUUGACCCCUUUUCCUCUUCAAACAGGGAUUUGUUCUCACAUUUUUCACAUUUUAUUUUCUGUGAGCAAAUUUGAAGCAAAGUCAACCUGUACCUGUUUUGACCUGUUUUGUUUAGACCUUGUUGUGCUUGGACUGGAUUUUGGAUUCUCCUUUUGUUUGGACUGCCUGUGAGUUAUCAAUAUUAAUCAAUAUUUGCUUGUGACAUCGACCACGUCCUGGAUUAUCCCUGCUGAACCUGUUUGCUUGUGUAGUGACCCCGAACUUUGGGCCCUUGAGCAAGGCCCUUAACCCUGCAUUGCUCCAGGGGAGGAUUGUCUCCUGCUUAGUCUAAUCAACUGUACGUCGCUCUGGAUAAGAUCACCUGCCAAAUGCCAAUAAUGUAAUGUAAUGCCUGAUCUGUCACUACUGUUUGCUGGAUAUCGACCCCUGCCUAUCUGAUCUGUUUUGAAGUGAAUAAAGACUUUAACAUUA